AUCUAACUGACGAAUCCCAGAUAGGACGAAACUCGCAUCCUAUAU
rnacentral:hammerhead_ribozyme from 1 species